GAAUUGCGAUAAGUAAUGUGAAUUGCAGAAUUCAGUGAAUCAUCGAAUCUUUGAACGCACCUUGCGCCCGCCAGCACUCUGGCGGGCAUGCCUGUUCGAGCGUCAUUUCAACCCUCAGAACCCCUUGCGGGAUCUGGCGUUGGGGAUUGGCAUCCAGCCAGCCCCGAAAUCUAGUGGCGGUCCCUCCGCGACCUCCCCUGUGCAGUAGCGAUACCUCGCAGCGGGACAGCGGUCUGACCACGCCGUAAAACCCCCAACUUCUCAAGGUUGACCUCGAAUCAGGUAGGAAUACCCGCUGAACUUAAGC
rnacentral:misc_RNA from 1 species